GCCAAAACUUUUUUUAAUGGGUGCGUGCAUUUGUGUUGUCCGGUGUUUGAAGACGCUUUGAAUUCGCUUUCAAUUUCUUCGUAGGAAAAAUGUCGGGUGAUACCGAUAAAGCGAAAAUCAAUGACAAUCAGGAUGAAGACAAGAAGUCCACAGCCGGCGACGGGCAUACAACAGAAGACGAGUCGUCUCAAGACUCCAAGGGUGAGUCGGUCCCCGACCAGGCCGCAGGUAACACCGAUGUAGAUCAACCAAGCGACGCGCCCAAUAAAGAUACUAUUGAAGGCGACGCCAAAAGCACAACGGCCAAUGGGAAGGAAGAUGACGCGGGCGGAGAUGACUCCAAAAACGAGAAGAGAGACGCGAAAGCAGAUGGCGAUGUAAAAAAGGAAGAAAACGGGGAAACACACGAUGACGACGAGAAGGAUGACGUGAAAGAAAACAAGAGCACUAAAAAACCCCCACCCAAGAAGAAGGCUAAGAAAGAGGAUACAGAAGAAGAAGACGAGGAUGAGGAGGAAGAGGAGGAGGAGGAUGAGGAGGGAGAGGAGGGCGAUGAGGAGGGAGAUGAGGACGAGAAGAAGCCCAAAGAAAAGGUAAAGAAACCAGCAAAGAAAGCCAAAGAUGGCGACGAAGAGGGCGACGAGGAGGAAGGCGACGAAGAGGGAGAGGAGGAGGAAGAAGAGGAGGAGGAGGAAGAGGAGGCGCCCAAACCUAAGCCCAAGAAAGAGCCCACGGAACCGCCCGUGCCGCUGCCGGCGGGUAAGGGCAUCCCGCUCGGCCACAUCAGUAACGUCGAGAUCUCACUGUCGCGCUUCAAGACCCAGGAUCAGAAGAUUCUGCAUCAGUUCCUAUACGGGCAAUUAUGCCUUGAUCGUAAUGUCAAGCGUAAUAUCAAGAAGUUCCGUGGGUACGAGUGGGCGAUCGGCUCCGCCGAGUAUAAGGCCAAGCUCGAGGAGACUACGAAGAUGGAGCCCAAGCAAGUGCGCACCAUGUGCGAGAUGCUCGAUUUGGACAAGAAAGGGUCGCAGGCGGACCUCGCGGCGCGGCUAGUGGGGUUCCUGCAGCAGCCGGUGGCCAACUCCGUGCACGCGCGCGGCGUGGCGCGGCCACCGCCCGCCGCCGCCGCCACGCCGGGCGGCCGGCCCCGCCGCUCCGCCGCCGUCAAGGUGCACAACAGAGGCUAUUCCGAUGAGGAGUAUGAGACAGACCCAGAGACGAAGGUCAAAGGUCCCAAACCGGCGAAGGAUGGCUCGGAAGAUUCAGAUGGUUCGUUCAACCCGAGCGGAUCCGAGGAGGCGGACUCGGACUUCGACCCCGAGGGCGGCGAGAGCGCGGGCGCCGCCACGCGCAAGCGCAAGAGCAGCGGCCGCCGCCGCUCCGGCGGCAAGCCCGGCAAGCGCGGCAAGCGCCAGCGCGGCAAGCCGGUCAAGGGCAAGAAGGGUCGCGCGGCAAAGAGAGCGCGUUCUGAAAGCGAAGAGGAGAGCGAAAAGUCGGAGAGUGAAAACGAGUCCGAGUCUGGCGGCGGCAGCGACGGAGAGGAAUCCGAUGAGCCAAAAUCCAAGCGCGGCCGGCCGGCACCAGCCAAGGGCCGUAAGGGAGUCGUCGCCAAGAAUGCCAAGGCGACGCCGGUCAAACGAAAAGCGCCUACGCCACCGGCCAAGAAGAAGCCAGCGGGCAAGGCGGCGGGCCGACCGGCCAAGAAGCCAAACAAGAAGGCCGCAUCAUCCGAAGAGGAGUCCGGGGAAGGAAGUGAGGAGGAGGAAGAGGGUAGCGAGGAGGAGAGCGCGGGAGACAGCGACGCGCCCGCCGACAAGAAGAAGCGCCCGCCCACGGACGACGAGAUCAAGAAGUAUGUGAAGCAGAUCCUGGAGGGCGCCAACCUUGAGCAGAUCACGAUGAAGACGGUGUGCAAGCAGGUGUACAGCCACUACCCCGACUUCGAUCUGGCGCACAAGAAGGACUUCAUCAAGGCCACAGUCAAGUCGUGUAUUUAAGAUGUUAGGAGUUAAGGCGGAGUGUAGAUGUCUUCAUAGUAUACCUAUAGUUUAUAAAAGGACAUAUUAUAUAUUAUUACAAUAAUAAUAUAUUAUGAGAAAUAAAUAAUAUCCGAGGCAGUGGAACACCCGCUUUAUAAAAGCUCAUCUCUUCGUGAGCAGUGAGUACUCGGCCGCAAACACAUUCAUAGAAGUAAGGUACACCACUUAAACCUAGACUAAUGCCGCGCCGCGGCCCCGCUCGUACUCCUACCGGGGCUAUUCUAACAUUCACACAAAUCAUCAUCAUCAUAUCAGGCAGAGGAAGUCCACUGCUGGACAUAGGCCUCCCCCAAACACACAAAUACAAAUACUAUCGUCAAAUUAUCGCAUAUGGGGUAAAUUACGUCCACUUGACCUAUACAUUCUCAGUCACAUUAGUGCUAAUUACGCACUUUGAGUGUGCUUAUAAAUGGGUCAUUUACCCUAACGAAAAUGAAGAGAGAAUUCAUCAGUUUCCCUUGCUGGCCAGGAUAUUUUUUAUUUUAUUAUAUCGGGCUCUUGUUUGAGCCAUGACAUUUUCGAGGCAAACGUUAAGAUAAUCCUAUGUCAAUCAAUUUGCUUAUCUACUGUAUUGUAGAUAAAAUGGACGAACUAUAAAAUGUGAAUGAAGUAUACAUGUCUAAAACAAUGAAUAUUGUUUUUUCUAUAUUUAAAUCUGGCCAUAUUAGUUCGUCGAUUGGUCGAAUACCCCUUGCUCGGCCGGGCAGCGUCGCGGCGCGGGCCUAUGUAAUUUUAUGUUCUAGGAAUAAUUUCCACUAGAAAUAAGUAUAACGAAAUAAGCAGCUCUUAAGUUUUUACAUCUUGUUUUCACUGACUUGUAAUUAUUAUUGUGGUGUUUCGUUUACGCCGUUCGCUGUUUUGUUGAUUACUGUAAGUGAAACUGCCCAGUCGGCGUUAAGUUCUACAAAAAUAGAUAUCCAGUACUUUUUUAACCACAUCCAGAAGAAAAAUAGCAUUUUGGGACCAUUUUAAGUUAUGACCUUAACGCGCGAGAUAUCUAAGUCACUCAUUUAAGUACUGUUUAUUUUUAACAUCGAAAACAUUGUACAAAGUUCAGAUAUCCCAAUGUCUUUAAGUUAAAAGUUGUUAUUUUAUGAAAAAAAAAUAUGUCUCGGAACGUAAGUUUAUUUUUUUAAUACGAACGUAGAUUUAAUGUCGAAAUUUCUCGCAGUCUCGCACUAUCGCAAAAGUAAAACUAUUUCGGCUAAGAAUUGAUUUAAGUGUACUUUUAGAAUGUGUAAAUAUACACAAUGGUUUGGGACGUGUGAUUAAAUAUAUUAUGUAAUCUGAAUGUAGUAAUGUCAUAUCUAAGAGGAACUCGCUAUAUUGGAUUGAAGUCUCAAAUAUUUUGGCCUUGUCUUUACCUGAAAUCCAUCGGUCUAGACUCUAGACGGAAAUUAUAGCAAUACAUAAGAUAUCUAAGAAUGGAUUUAUGCUUUCGAGUCCCGUCGCCGUCUCCGUGUAUUUACACCGUGAAUAUAACUGACAUUAACUAAUCACUGUUCACUAUGGAACAUAGUGUUGACAUGCAUUUUGAAAUCGCGGUAUGAUUUAUUUAAGUUUGUCAAAUAAUUAGUACAAUAAUGUUAUAAGUAGAAACUUGUAAAAUGAACGUUUCUUACCGGGGACUCGGCGUAGCAUUAAUAAAUGUACAAUAUGAUCCUCAUUUUAUAAAGUUGCGAGCGCUCUUCAAUGUUGUCGUACCAGGCAUGGCUCACUCCGCGAUUUCGUCGCGUCGCGUACACGCGGCCCACACCAAUUUUGGUGUCUAUGAGUAGUAGUUGCCGCGCACCGCUACGGAACUGACGCGUCCGCGUGCUUGCGGUCAUAUAUAUCGUAAUAGACGCGUUUAGUUAGAGAGUGAACCUUAUGUACCUAGUACUAUUUAUGCUGUGGUCAUACAGACAUAGUUUUUUAAAGUGAGGACUAGUUUGAGCGUUGACGUCGCGUCCCCGGCGUUCGCUGGAUGUUAUGUAAUCGCCUACAAGUACCACAGUGUACUGCAGUCUCGCUUCGUGUUAUGUUGGGUGCUCCAGCAGUAGAUGUGUGUGGCCGACGUCGCUCCGCGGGUGUAGUAGGUGCGGCCGCUCCGGGACGCCUAUAUCGCGAUAUAUAGGGUCUCAUGUAUCCUCUAUAUCACGAUGUCAGGAUCCCACAUCUAGAUUGAUCCCAAUUCUGUUAUUUUUACCGCCUCCCGGCGCGCUCGCACCUUUAUAAUUAAGCUAGCUCUAAACGACAUUAAAUGUGUAUCUGUGAAUUUUUAACCUUAUUUGGUUGACGUUUUUUUUUGUGUAAAUGGCUGAUCUGUAGCGCAGUAGUGACACGGUGUGAGCGAGCGACUGGUUCCCUUUUACAAUUGGAUUAUAGAUAAUAAAGUAAAUAAAAAGUUUGA